ACUUAAAUUGAAGAGUUUGAUCAUGGCUCAGAUUGAACGCUGGCGGCAGGCCUAACACAUGCAAGUCGAGCGGUAGCACAGAGAGCUUGCUCUCGGGUGACGAGCGGCGGACGGGUGAGUAAUGUCUGGGAAACUGCCUGAUGGAGGGGGAUAACUACUGGAAACGGUAGCUAAUACCGCAUAACGUCGCAAGACCAAAGUGGGGGACCUUCGGGCCUCAUGCCAUCAGAUGUGCCCAGAUGGGAUU
rnacentral:rRNA from 1 species